GCAAGUCGAACGGUGAAGCCCAGCUUGCUGGGUGGAUCAGUGGCGAACGGGUGAGUAACACGUGAGCAACCUGCCCUCCACUUCGGGAUAAGCCUUGGAAACGGGGUCUAAUACCGGAUAUGAGCAUUCACCGCAUGGUGGGUGUUGGAAAGUUUUUCGGUGGGGGAUGGGCUCGCGGCCUAUCAGCUUGUUGGUGGGGUGAUGGCCUACCAAGGCGUCGACGGGUAGCCGGCCUGAGAGGGCGACCGGCCACACUGGGACUGAGACACGGCCCAGACUCCUACGGGAGGCAGCAGUGGGGAAUAUUGCACAAUGGGCGAAAGCCUGAUGCAGCGACGCCGCGUGAGGGAUGACGGCCUUCGGGUUGUAAACCUCUUUCAGCAGGGAAGAAGGCCUUCGGGUGGACGGUACCUGCAGAAGAAGCGCCGGCUAACUACGUGCCAGCAGCCGCGGUAAUACGUAGGGCGCAAGCGUUGUCCGGAAUUAUUGGGCGUAAAGAGCUCGUAGGCGGUUUGUCGCGUCUGGUGUGAAAUCCCGAGGCUCAACCUCGGGCUUGCAUCGGGUACGGGCAGACUAGAGUACUGUAGGGGAGACUGGAAUUCCUGGUGUAGCGGUGGAAUGCGCAGAUAUCAGGAGGAACACCGAUGGCGAAGGCAGGUCUCUGGGCAGUUACUGACGCUGAGGAGCGAAAGCAUGGGGAGCGAACAGGAUUAGAUACCCUGGUAGUCCAUGCCGUAAACGUUGGGCACUAGGUGUGGGGCUCAUUCCACGAGUUCCGUGCCGCAGCUAACGCAUUAAGUGCCCCGCCUGGGGAGUACGGCCGCAAGGCUAAAACU
rnacentral:rRNA from 1 species